AGAGUUUGAUCCUGGCUCAGGAUGAACGCUGGCGGCGUGCCUAACACAUGCAAGUCGAGCGAAGCGCUGUUUUCAGAAUCUUCGGAGGAAGAGGACAGCGACUGAGCGGCGGACGGGUGAGUAACGCGUGGGCAACCUGCCUCAUACAGGGGGAUAACAGUUAGAAAUGACUGCUAAUACCGCAUAAGCGCACAGGACCGCAUGGUGUAGUGUGAAAAACUCCGGUGGUAUGAGAUGGACCCGCGUCUGAUUAGGUAAUUGGUGGGGUAAAGGCCUACCAAGCCGACGAUCAGUAGCCGACCUGAGAGGGUGACCGGCCACAUUGGGACUGAGACACGGCCCAAACUCCUACGGGAGGCAGCAGUGGGGAAUAUUGCACAAUGGGGGAAACCCUGAUGCAGCGACGCCGCGUGAAGGAAGAAGUAUUUCGGUAUGUAAACUUCUAUCAGCAGGGAAGAAGAUGACGGUACCUGAGUAAGAAGCACCGGCUAAAUACGUGCCAGCAGCCGCGGUAAUACGUAUGGUGCAAGCGUUAUCCGGAUUUACUGGGUGUAAAGGGAGCGUAGACGGAUAGGCAAGUCUGGAGUGAAAACCCAGGGCUCAACCCUGGGACUGCUUUGGAAACUGCAGAUCUGGAGUGCCGGAGAGGUAAGCGGAAUUCCUAGUGUAGCGGUGAAAUGCGUAGAUAUUAGGAGGAACACCAGUGGCGAAGGCGGCUUACUGGACUGGUACUGACGCUGAGGCACGAAAGCGUGGGGAGCAAACAGGAUUAGAUACCCUGGUAGUCCACGCCGUAAACGAUAAAUACUAGGUGUCGGGG
rnacentral:rRNA from 1 species